GUACACUCCUGCGGGAGGCAGCAGUGGGGAAUUUUGGACAAUGGGCGAAAGCCUGAUCCAGCAAUGCCGCGUGUGUGAAGAAGGCCUUCGGGUUGUAAAGCACUUUUGUCCGGAAAGAAAUCCUUGGCUCUAAUACAGUCGGGGGAUGACGGUACCGGAAGAAUAAGCACCGGCUAACUACGUGCCAGCAGCCGCGGUAAUACGUAGGGUGCGAGCGUUAAUCGGAAUUACUGGGCGUAAAGCGUGCGCAGGCGGUUUGCUAAGACCGAUGUGAAAUCCCCGGGCUCAACCUGGGAACUGCAUUGGUGACUGGCAGGCUAGAGUAUGGCAGAGGGGGGUAGAAUUCCACGUGUAGCAGUGAAAUGCGUAGAGAUGUGGAGGAAUACCGAUGGCGAAGGCAGCCCCCUGGGCCAAUACUGACGCUCAUGCACGAAAGCGUGGGGAGCAAACAGGAUUAGAAACCCCUGUAGUCCCAUG
rnacentral:rRNA from 1 species